GAUGAACGCUGGCGGCGUGCCUAAUACAUGCAAGUCGAGCGAAUGGAUUAAGAGCUUGCUCUUAUGAAGUUAGCGGCGGACGGGUGAGUAACACGUGGGUAACCUGCCCAUAAGACUGGGAUAACUCCGGGAAACCGGGGCUAAUACCGGAUAACAUUUUGAACCGCAUGGUUCGAAAUUGUAAGGCGGCUUCGGCUGUCACUUAUGGAUGGACCCGCGUCGCAUUAGCUAGUUGGUGAGGUAACGGCUCACCAAGGCAACGAUGCGUAGCCGACCUGAGAGGGUGAUCGGCCACACUGGGACUGAGAGACGGCCGAGACUCCUACGGGAGGCAGCAGUAGGGAAGCUUCCGCAAUGGACGAAAGUCUGACGGAGCAACGCCGCGUGAGUGAUGAAGGCUUUCGGGUCGUAAAACUCUGUUGUUAGGGAAGAACAAGUGCUAGUUGAAUAAGCUGGCACCUUGACGGUACCUAACCAGAAAGCCACGGCUAACUACGUGCCAGCCGCCGCAGUAA
rnacentral:rRNA from 1 species